rnacentral:rRNA from 1 species
GACGAACGCUGGCGGCGUGCCUAAUACAUGCAAGUCGAACGCACAGUUUAUACCUUAGCUUGCUACACCAUAGACUGUGAGUUGCGAACGGGUGAGUAACGCGUAGGUAACCUGCCUGGUAGCUGGGGAUAACUAUUGGAAACGCUAGCUAAUACCGCAUAAUAUUAAUUAUUGCUUGCUAAUUAAUUGAAAGGUGCAAUUGCACCACUACCAGCUGGACCUUCGUUGUAUUAGCUAGUAGGUGAGGUAACGGCUCACCUAGGCGAGGAUACAUAGACGACAGGGGAGGGUGAUAGGCCACACUGGGACUGAGACACGGCCCAGACUCCCACGGGAGGCAGCAGGAGGGAAUCGUAGGCAAUGGACGAAAGUCUGACCGAGAAACGCCGAGGGAGGGAAGAAGGGUGUCGGAUCGUAAAGCUCUGUUGUAAGAGAAGAACGGGUGUGAGAGUGGAAAGUUCACACUGUGACGGUAUCUGACCAGAAAGGGACGGCUAACUACGUG